rnacentral:rRNA from 1 species
AGAGGGUGCGAGCGUUAAUCGGAAUUACUGGGCGUAAAGAGCGCGUAGGUGGAUGUUUAAGUCGGAUGUGAAAGCCCCGGGCUCAACCUGGGAACUGCAUUCGAUACUGGGCAUCUUGAGUAUGGUAGAGGGAAGUGGAAUUUCCGGAGUAGCGGUGGAAUGCGUAGAUAUCGGAAGGAACACCAGUGGCGAAGGCGACUUCCUGGACCAAUACUGACACUGAGGCGCGAAAGCGUGGGGAGCAAACAGGGAUUAGAUACCCUGGUAGUCCACGCCGUAAACGAUGAGAACUAGGCGUUGGGAGGUUUAACCUCUCAGUGUCGUAGCUAACGCGUUAAGUUCUCCGCCUGGGGGAGUACGGCCGCAAGGCUA